AGUGAACGCUGGCGGUAGGCCUAACACAUGCAAGUCGAACGGCAGCACAGUAAGAGCUUGCUCUUACGGGUGGCGAGUGGCGGACGGGUGAGGAAUACAUCGGAAUCUACUUUUUCGUGGGGGAUAACGUAGGGAAACUUACGCUAAUACCGCAUAAGACCUACGGGUGAAAGCAGGGGAUCUUCGGACCUUGCGCGAUUGAAUGAGCCGAUGUCGGAUUAGCUAGUUGGCGGGGUAAAGGCCCACCAAGGCGACGAUCCGUAGCUGGUCUGAGAGGAUGAUCAGCCACACUGGAACUGAGACACGGUCCAGACUCCUACGGGAGGCAGCAGUGGGGAAUAUUGGACAAUGGGGGCAAGCCUGAUCCAGCCAUACCGCGUGGGUGAAGAAGGCCUUCGGGUUGUAAAGCCCUUUUGUUGGGAAAGAAAAGCAGCAGGUUAAUACCCCGCUGUUCUGACGGUACCCAAAGAAUAAGCACCGGCUAACUUCGUG
rnacentral:rRNA from 1 species